ensembl:lncRNA
GGCUUAAAGUCAAGUAGAGCAAAGGCUGUACGAGGCAGAGGCCGAUAUGGUGCCCGAGGUGGUUCUUGAGGCCGAGGCGGUUCCUGAGGCCGUUCCCGAGGCGGUGCCUGAUGCCGAGGCGGUGCCUGAUGCUGAGGCGGUGCCUGAUGCCGAGGCGGUGCUCGAUGCUGUUCCGGAUGCCGAGGCGGUGCCCGAUGCAGAUGCCGAGGCGGGUUCCGAUGCUGUUCCGGAGGCCGAGGCUGGGCCCGAUGCUGUUCCGGAGGCCGAGGCGGUGUCCGAUGUGGGGCCCGAGGCCGUUCCCGAUGCGGUGUCCGAUACGGUGCCCAAGAUGGUUCCCGAUGCCGAUGCGGUGACCGAGGCGGGGUCCGAGGCCAUUCCUGAGGCGGUGCCCGAGAUGGUUCCCGAAGCCGAGGUGCUUCACGUCUCCACAGGCCGUCCAGAGCACCUUCACGUCUUCACAGGCAGUCCAGAGUCAGGUCAGGUCCCCGCUGACCGUCCAGAGUCAGGUCAAGCCACCGUUGAUCUUCGUGAACAAGGUCAAGUCACAGUUAAACUUUAUGAGCCCAGUCAAAUCACUACCAAUCUUCCAGAGUUUCAUCAUACCACAACAGAUCAUCCAGAGCCUCGUCACAGCCUGUCUGUUGCACCAAGCAAGGUUCUCUCAGCCUGUUGUAUUGAUGUCAAGGAGACUGUAACUGCUGCAGAACCUUCGGAGGUGUCAGUAGUAUCCAUCCAGGAACUCUCGUCCUGUCCUGUCACGGCCAAGGAGGCCAUCCACCAACUCACUGCCCAUCCUGUCAUGGCCAAGGAGACCGUCUAUGAACUCAUUGCCCGUCCUGUCACAGCUACGGAAGCCAUCCACAAACUCACGGCCUGUCUUGUCACGGCUAAGGAGGCCAUCUAUGAACUCUCUGCCGGCCCUGUCACGGCUAUGGAGGCCGUUUGGGAACUCUCUAACCACCUCAUCACGACCACGGAGGCCGCCAUUAACAUGUUUAUGUUCUCUGUUUCAGUCCCACCUGACCAGACUUGCUCUCCUGUGCCGUUGACUCCACUGUGGUGGUCAUCUGCUUCGCCCUGGUGGGCUUCUGUCUCGUCGGCUCCACUAUGGUGGUCCUCUGCUCCGCCCUGGUGGGCUUCUGUCCCGUCUGCUCAGCUGUGGUGGGCCUCUGCUCCACCCUGGUCAUCCUCUGCCCCGCCUGCUCCGCCCUGGUGGGCUUCUAUCCCAUCUGCUCAGCUGUGGGGGCUCCUUGCUCCGCCCUGGUGGGCUCCUGUUCCGUCGGCUCUGCCUUGGUCGCCAGCCAUUCCACUUUCACAUGGACCUGGCCCUCCAUCCCUCCCCCUGUUCCGCCUCCGCUCCACCGCCCUCCAAGCCUGUCUAGAGCGUCUGGAAGCCGCUCCUUGUGGGGGGGCUAUGUCACGAUCUCUAGCUGGAGUGCCUGUGAGCUUCAGUAGAGGGCACUCCACUCAGGACUCAUUCAGAACUCCAUUUCCCAUCCUGCCUCACUCCUGGGACUGAUUGCACACACCUGCACCUAAUUACACACACCUGCAGCUAAUACACACACACACACCCAUAUAAGCAGCACACUCACACCAUCACACUGCGAAGUCUUGUUUAGCGCCGUCUAAUAUUUCCGAGCGGUUUCCCUUUGUUUGUUCUUCCGUGUCUGACUUGUGGAUUGUGUAUUCUGACUCUGAUUCUCUGCUGCCUGCCCCGAUCUCUGCUUGUUUCUGGUUUCGAUUCCGGUUACCCCUGACAACAUUCCUGAUUUCCACCUGUCUGACCACUCUGUUAAUAAAUACUGCAAUUGGAUCCGAACGUCGCUGACUCUCCAUUGUAACAGAGGCGAGUGAAUUU